rnacentral:tRNA from 1 species
GAAUAGUUGACGUGCACCCAGUGCUCGCUUUGCAUGCGAGAAGCCGCGGGUUCAAUUCCCGCAGUCUCCA